rnacentral:lncRNA from 1 species
ACCAUUUUCUCCAUUUUCACAUAACUUCAAAACCACAAAACUUUCAUUUAGUGCUCUCUUGUUCACGGCAGCCCUCACCCACACUAAACCCACCAUCAAUCUCCACUAAAUCACCUUAAAUUCCACAUUUUCUAAGUGUUUCAAGAACAUCUUUACAUGGGUUAAGCAUGGAUCAUCUUUAGGAGCACUUUUGGAGCCAAAUCUUUUUCUUAUUUUCUUAUUUAGCUUGUGCCAUAUUGUUAUUGACACGUACGGACGCUCACUUCGAUAUCAUAUUACACAGAACGCAAAUUUCAAGGAAUGACCCCAACGUUGUGGCAGGACGUGGUGACCAACGUGAUUGACCGAGUAAAUAAUCUACCGAGCAACCCAAGGUGA